UCUGGACAGGGGCGAAGCCUGACCGCAAUGCCGCGUGCAGGAAGAAGGCCUUCGGGUUGUAAACUGCUUUUGUACGGAACGAAACGGUCUGCCCUAAUACGGCGGGCUAAUGACGGUACCGUAAGAAUAAGCACCGGCUAACUACGUGCCAGCAGCCGCGGUAAUACGUAGGGUGCGAGCGUUAAUCGGAAUUACUGGGCGUAAAGCGUGCGCAGGCGGUUAUGUAAGACAGUUGUGAAAUCCCCGGGCUCAACCUGGGAAUUGCAUCUGUGACUGCAUAGCUAGAGUACGGUAGAGGGGGAUGGAAUUCCGCGUGUAGCAGUGAAAGGCGUAGAUAUGCGGAGGAACACCGAUGGCGAAGGCAAUCCCCUGGACCUGUACUGACGCUCAUGCACGAAA
rnacentral:rRNA from 1 species